CGUGUUGAGCUAACCCAUACUAAUUACCCGUGAGGCUUAACCAUACAACACCCAAGAAGUGUUCUG
rnacentral:rRNA from 1 species